rnacentral:siRNA from 1 species
AGGGUCAAUCGGGCCUGGUUCA